rnacentral:lncRNA from 1 species
AUAGUAAUCACGAAAAGCAAGACCUAUGUGUCACAAGCAGGCACCACGGGUUCUUUACUUUUUGGUGGGGUUGAGGGCUUUUGUGCAUUAUAGCACAGGCCGUGACUACCUUUUUACCUUGAUUGAUGCUGCAUAUCGCCCGCUUGUUCCACAAAAAACUAUGUGCCUAUCAAUUAGUUCCAAGAAAGCGGCCGGGGUCUAACUAGAAUUUCAUUCCAAUCUCGAGAUUGUUGG